rnacentral:rRNA from 1 species
AGNAGCGUANAUGCAGUCGAGCGGUAACAGAAAGUAGCUUGCUACUUUGCUGACGAGCGGCGGACGGGUGAGUAAUGCUUGGGAACAUGCCUUGAGGUGGGGGACAACAGUUGGAAACGACUGCUAAUACCGCAUAAUGUCUACGGACCAAAGGGGGCUUCGGCUCUCGCCUUUAGAUUGGCCCAAGUGGGAUUAGCUAGUUGGUGAGGUAAUGGCUCACCAAGGCGACGAUCCCUAGCUGGUUUGAGAGGAUGAUCAGCCACACUGGGACUGAGACACGGCCCAGACUCCUACGGGAGGCAGCANUGGGGAAUAUUGCACAAUGGGCGCAAGCCUGAUGCAGCCAUGCCGCGUGUGUGAAGAAGGCCUUCNGGUUGUAAAGCACUUUCAGUCANGAGGAAAGGUUAACGGUUAAUACCCG